UGGGGCGUCGUCUAGUGGCAGGACACAGGAUUUUGGAUCCUGGCGCGGAGGUUCGACUCCUCCCGCCCCAG
rnacentral:tRNA from 1 species